rnacentral:rRNA from 1 species
CCUACGGGCGGCAGCAGUGAGGAAUAUUGGUCAAUGGACGAGAGCCUGAACCAGCCAAGUAGCGUGAAGGAUGACGGCCCUAUGGGUUGUAAACUUCUUUUAUAAGGGAAUAAAAUGCGUCACGUGUGCCUUUUUGUAUGUACCUUAUGAAUAAGGACCGGCUAACUCCGUGCCAGCAGCCGCGGUAAUACGGAGGGUCCGAGCGUUAUCCGGAUUUAUUGGGUUUAAAGGGAGCGUAGACGGGGUGUUAAGUCAGUUGUGAAAGUCUGUGGCUCAACCAUAGAAUUGCAGUUGAUACUGGCAGGCUUGAGUACGGUUGAGGUAGGCGGAAUUCGUGGUGUAGCGGUGAAAUGCUUAGAUAUCACGAAGAACCCCGAUUGCGAAGGCAGCUUACUAAACUGUGACUGACGUUGAUGCUCGAAAGCGUGGGUAUCAAACAGGAUUAGAUACCCUGGUAGUC